GUGAAUCAUCAAAUUUUUGAACGCAAAUUGCGCUUCCUGGUAUCCCGGGAAGUAUGCCUGUUUGAGGAUCAGUAUUAUCUAAAAAUCGGUUUGGUUGCAAAUUGUGACGUUUCCGGAGUUUGGGCUUAUCUUAACUGUUUGGUUAAGGGGCUUAAAAUUGACCUUUUUUGCACAGUUUUAUACGUACAUAAAUUUUGUUUUAUUCGUCUAUUCUUAAUGCUGAUAUCUUAGUAGUUGCUAUCACAUCGUGUGGCUUCGUGCCCAUAUAAUUUUCCUGAUUCGACCUCAAAUCAGCUAGUAG
rnacentral:misc_RNA from 1 species